rnacentral:sRNA from 1 species
AUGUACCCACGUACACUCCGGUUCCUCCGCGCCGUCCGCCCCCACCUGACGGCUGCUCGCUACGUUUUGUUAGCC